UACGUAGGGGGCUAGCGUUGUCCGGAAUUAUUGGGCGUAAAGAGCGUGUAGGCGGUCCGAUAAGUUUGCUGUGAAAGUCGGAGGCUCAACCUUCGAAAGCCGGUGGACACUGUGAGACUUGAGUACGGAAGAGGAGAGUGGAAUUCCUGGUGUAGCGGUGAAAUGCGCAGAUAUCAGGAGGAACACCAACGGCGAAGGCAGCUCUCUGGGACGUUACUGACGCUGAGACGCGAAAGCGUGGGGAGCAAACAGG
rnacentral:rRNA from 1 species